rnacentral:rRNA from 1 species
AACGAACGCUGGCGGCAGGCUUAACACAUGCAAGUCGAACGAGAUCUUCGGAUCUAGUGGCAGACGGGUGAGGAACACGUGGGAACAUCCCUUUCAGUUCGGAAUAACGUUGGGAAACUAACGCUAAUACCGGAUACGUCCUUCGGGAGAAAGAUUUAUCGCUGAAAGAUUGGCCCGCGUCUGAUUAGCUAGUUGGUGAGGUAACGGCUCACCAAGGCUACGAUCAGUAGCUGAUCUGAGAGGAUGAUCAGCCACAUUGGGCCUGAGACACGGCCCAAACUCCUACGGGAGGCAGCAGUGGGGAAUAUUGGACAAUGGGCGCAAGCCUGAUCCAGCCAUGCCGCGUGAGUGAUGACGGCCUUCGGGUUGUAAAGCUCUUUUGUCCGGGAAGAUAAUGACUGUACCGGGAGAAUAAGCCCCGGCAAACUUCGUGCCAGCCGCCGCCGUAA